rnacentral:lncRNA from 1 species
CUGUGGGCGGUGCAUGUGUGUGUGUGGUGACCUCUGGACUGAUUGUCCAUGAUCCGAUAGCCUUCGCGGAAAUUGAGAAGUUGAUUUCGGUGCGUUUUUCAGCGAAAUUCGCCGAAAUAACGCGGUUUCAGUUCGGAUUUCUUCCGACGUGGUUUGUUUAUCCUGUGAAUUGUCGCUGGGCCUUGUUGGCUGGUCACCAUCAUCAUUUGUGGAUUCGGUGAUGAUGGGUGAGCGACGUCGGUGGGUACCGGUGUCGAAAUAGACAUUUUCGGGAACCCGUAUUCGUACAAUUAUCCGGCGAUAAUUGUGUUGUCACGCCCCGGAACCGAUACCAAUUUGGCCCGACCCGAGCACGUCAAACAGACGCCGAACGGACAGAGUUUUCCCUAUCCGCCCAA